rnacentral:rRNA from 1 species
GACGAACGCUGGCGGCGUGCUUAACACAUGCAAGUCGAACGGAAAGGCCCUGCUUUUGUGGGGUGCUCGAGUGGCGAACGGGUGAGUAACACGUGAGUAACCUGCCCUUGACUUUGGGAUAACUUCAGGAAACUGGGGCUAAUACCGGAUAGGAGCUCCUGCUGCAUGGUGGGGGUUGGAAAGUUUCGGCGGUUGGGGAUGGACUCGCGGCUUAUCAGCUUGUUGGUGGGGUAGUGGCUUACCAAGGCUUUGACGGGUAGCCGGCCUGAGAGGGUGACCGGCCACAUUGGGACUGAGAUACGGACCAGACUCCUACGGGAGGCAGCAGUGGGGAAUAUUGCACAAUGGGCGGAAGCCUGAGGCAGCAGCGCCGCGUGCGGGAUGACGGCCUUCGGGUUGUAAACCGCUUUCGCCUGUGACGAAGCGUGAGUGACGGUAAUGGGUAAAGAAGCACCGGCUAACUACGUG